rnacentral:rRNA from 1 species
UACGGGGGGAGCAAGCGUUGUUCGGAUUUACUGGGCGUAAAGGGCGCGUAGGCGGUCAGCACAAGUCAGUUGUGAAAUCUCCGGGCUUAACUCGGAAAGGUCAACUGAUACUGUGCGACUAGAGUGCAGAAGGGGCAACUGGAAUUCUCGGUGUAGCGGUGAAAUGCGUAGAUAUCGAGAGGAACACCUGAGGCGAAGGCGGGUUGCUAGGCUGACACUGACGCUGACAGCGCGAAAGCCAGGGGAGCAAACGGG